rnacentral:rRNA from 1 species
UACGUAGGGGGCAAGCGUUGUCCGGAAUCAUUGGGCGUAAAGCGCGUGUAGGCGGCUUGGUAAGUCUGCUCUGAAAGCCCGGGGCUCAACCCCGGGAGGCGGGUGGAUACUGCUGAGCUCGAGUCCGGAAGAGGCGAGUGGAAUUCCUGGUGUAGCGGUGAAAUGCGCAGAUAUCAGGAGGAACACCAAUGGCGAAGGCAGCUCGCUGGGACGGUACUGACGCUGAGGAGCGAAAGCGUGGGGAGCGAACAGG